UAGGGAAUUUUCGGCAAUGGGGGAAACCCUGACCGAGCAACGCCGCGUGAAGGAAGAAGGUUUUCGGAUUGUAAACUUCUGUUAUAAAGGAAGAACGGCGGCUACAGGAAAUGGUAGCCGAGUGACGGUACUUUAUUAGAAAGCCACGGCUAACUACGUGCCAGCAGCCGCGGUAAUACGUAGGUGGCAAGCGUUAUCCGGAAUUAUUGGGCGUAAAGAGGGAGCAGGCGGCAGCAAGGGUCUGUGGUGAAAGCCUGAAGCUUAACUUCAGUAAGCCAUAGAAACCAGGCAGCUAGAGUGCAGGAGAGGAUCGUGGAAUUCCAUGUGUAGCGGUGAAAUGCGUAGAUAUAUGGAGGAACACCAGUGGCGAAGGCGACGAUCUGGCCUGCAACUGACGCUCAGUCCCGAAAGCGUGGGGAGCAAAUAGGAUUAGAUACC
rnacentral:rRNA from 1 species